rnacentral:lncRNA from 1 species
UUACAUCCUUGACCGAGAGAAGGCUAUGUUAUGGGAGUAAGUAAAAGAAAACUUCAUGUUUGAAAAUAUAGACAAAGCCAAAGUGAAAGAAUGGGGCUUGAAAAAGGGUACAAUUGCGUUUCAGAUUUAAAAAAACCUUGAACAAAGGCUACAUAAAAAAGGGACUUGCACCUGAUUUCAAUAAGCACCCGAAGAUAAGGGAUCACUGGGAUUCCUUUGUACAGUUCAAGGAGACGAGCAAGAGCUAGUCGUCAACUCAAACCAACACCGGCAAUGCUCAGAAGAAGG